rnacentral:misc_RNA from 1 species
GAUGAAGAACGCAGCGAAAUGCGAUACGUAAUGUGAAUUGCAGAAUUCAGUGAAUCAUCGAAUCUUUGAACGCAUAUUGCGCUCUCUGGUAUUCCGGAGAGCAUGCUUGUUUGAGUAUCAGUAAACACCUCAACUUCCAUAUCUUUUUUGAAAUGGGAGUUGGACUUGAGUGAUCCCAACGCUUUUCCUCACCGAAAAGUGGCGGGUUACUUGAAAUGCAGGUGCAGCUGGACUUUGCUCUGGGCUAUAAGCAUAUCUAUUUAGUCUGCCUAAAAACAGAUUAUUACCUUUGCUGCAGCUAACAUAAAGGAGAUUAGUUCUUGUGCUGACUGAUGCAGGAUUCACAAAGACAGGCUUCGGCCGACUUUGUAAACUCGAUCUCAAAUCAAGUAAGACUACCCGCUGAACUUAAGCAUAUCAAUAAGCGGAGGA